AUGAUUGUGAGCGGAAUAAAAGUAUUGUGGACAUCAGUACGAAGCGUGGAUUCUUUUGACCAGAGUAGAUACAGUGAAAACGUGUCCCAAUCCAUCUGGAGGCUUCGGUGUGCAAAGCUCUUCUCAUCCUGCAGCAAGCUACAGGUCUCGGUUUACAACGCGCUUCUCAUCCUGCAGCAAGCUACAGGUCUUGGUUGCUUCUCAUCCUGCAGUGAGCUACAGGCUUCAGUGGACACUUGCUUUGCAUUUUGUAACAACCAAUCAGGAGCUGCAGAUUCAGCGGACGCUCCAAGAAGCGGUUUCAAGAAGCUAGUCACUUCCUGUGAGUCGCGGGAACUGGAAGUUGUGCGCGGGAGAGACAAGACAGAGCGGUAACACGGCGGACUUUUCGGAAUAUACAUCUUUUCUACUGCUGGUUUAUGAGGUGUACACGGUAAAAAGCAUUACGCUGUUAUUUGUUUAACACUUGUGCACUUUGUGAAAAGAAAUAUGUCGCUGAGAUGAAUAUAUGUGCUAUUGAUAUUAUUUUACUUGUUUCUAGUUUUCACGGUGCUCCAUGAUUGUGAGCGGAAUAAAAGUAUUGUGGACAUCAGUACGAAGCGUGGAUUCUUUUGACCAGAGUAGAUACAAGGAGUAUACAAAGUAUUUUUGAAUAAUGUGUCCUAACCAUGCAUCAAACGGUUGUUAAAAAAUAACACAGGUGGGCCCCGGUAGCAGAUCACUCAGACACGCUUGGUAGUAGUGAAACAGAUUUAUUUAGAGUGAAAAACACAAAAACAAUAAGGGGGCGAGGGAGCACGCGCACGGAGACACUCGAGCGUUAGUAAACGGGGAAAGGUGAGAGACUUCAAUAGUGGACAUCGGUUGCACACAGAUGUUUUACUUUGGCAGCAACUUAAACAACUGAGUCAAAUUAACACUUAAAUUCAAAACACAUAAAUCCAAGAAGGUGGUCAGUCUUCUUUUUUCAGUCUAAAAAUUGGAGCGCUUACUUGUCACACAUUUACUGAGGACUCGGACGGGGUGCGUGGACCUCGUGGCGGGGUAGGCGUGGGUCGAUGAUAGUGUAGGCGGGCAGGAUGACUGACAUCCAAAGGAGACAAACGAAGGAAGCACGGUAAGGAAGACUGGGGAGCGUGGAAGUGAUCCUCAGGUUGUGGACGGCUGGGGUGACAGCGAAGCAAGGUGACAGGAAAACAGGCGAGAAGGAAUCCCAAAAAGAGUUUGAUUACUGGAGGAUUUCCACACGAACCACGACUGACUCAUUACCACUGGCUCAGACAAUACUCUGACAACAGACGUCUACCACUCCGCUAUUUAACAAGUGUGUAGGGAAAUCCCGAAAGUCACAGCCUCGCCCGCCUGCUACAUAACGGGGAACCACAGCAAAACACGCGUGAAACAGAUGUAACAACAGACAGAUGUAGGGACCGGAUGCUUUAAAUGUAAAGUGAUUAUUUUGAAAUAUUGUCAAACGCUGUUACAGAUUGUUCAGUCAAUAAAGAUGACGUUUAUACGGUGUUUAGACCGUGUUUGAUUGAGUGUGUUGGACAGCUGUAAUUAUGAAUUUUAGGGGAAUCUUAUGAAACGGUCUUGAGACGUGUGCAAAUUUGAAAGGGUGGGCAGGGCUUUUCGGCUGAACUAACGAGGAAGUCCUGAAAGUUUUUUCUCGUUGAAAAGAGCCAUGUGCAGCUUGACAUAAAGUCUGAGCUCUGGAUGAGCAGAAAUGUGGAUUCUACCGCAGAACGUUUGAGAGAACGAUCAAAGUUUGGGUUUCUUUUUGUUGAGCCUGCGCUGCUUCUGCGUCCGAGUCGGGAAACAAAGACACGGCAGUAAGUACAUUUGUGCAGAGGCCUGCUGCAUCAUACAGUGUUAUGAAAUCUCCCGAUUUUCCUGACAUCUGUAU
ensembl:lncRNA